AUUGAACGCUGGCGGCAGGCUUAACACAUGCAAGUCGAACGAGUGGCGGACGGGUGAGUAAUGUCUGGGAAACUGCCUGAUGGAGGGGGAUAACUACUGGAAACGGUAGCUCAUACCGCAUACCAUCAGAUGUGCCCAGAUGGGUUUAGCUUGUUGGUGGGGUAACGGCUCACCAAGGCGACGAUCCCUAGCUGGUCUGAGAGGAUGACCAGCAAGACUGGAACUGAGACACGGUCCAGAAUCGUACGGGAGGCAGCAGUGGGGAAUAUUGCACAAUGGGCGCAAUCAUGAUGCAGCCAUGCCGCGUGUAUGAAGAAGGCAUUCGGGUGGUAAAGUACUUUAAGCGAGGAGGCGUUACCCGCAGAAGAAGCACCGGCUAACUCCGUGCCAGCCACCGCGGUAAUUC
rnacentral:rRNA from 1 species